rnacentral:rRNA from 1 species
AACGCGAAGAACCUUACCAAGGCUUGACAUACACCGGAAACGGCCAGAGAUGGUCGCCCCCUUGUGGUCGGUGUACAGGUGGUGCAUGGCUGUCGUCAGCUCGUGUCGUGAGAUGUUGGGUUAAGUCCCGCAACGAGCGCAACCCUUGUUCUGUGUUGCCAGCAUGCCCUUCGGGGUGAUGGGGACUCACAGGAGACUGCCGGGGUCAACUCGGAGGAAGGUGGGGACGACGUCAAGUCAUCAUGCCCCUUAUGUCUUGGGCUGCACACGUGCUACAAUGGCCGGUACAAAGAGCUGCGAAACCGUGAGGUGGAGCGAAUCUCAAAAAGCCGGUCUCAGUUCGGAUUGGGGUCUGCAACUCGACCCCAUGAAGUCGGAGUUGCUAGUAAUCGCAGAUCAGCAUUGCUGCGGUGAAUACGUUCCCGGGCCUUGUACACACCG